rnacentral:rRNA from 1 species
AUUGAACGCUGGCGGCGUGCUUAACACAUGCAAGUCGUGCGGUAACAGGCGUAGCAAUACGUGCUGACGAGCGGCGAACGGGUGCGUAAUACAUGGGAAUCUGCCCUUUAGUGGGGAAUAACCCGGCGAAAGCCGGGCUAAUGCCGCAUAAGAUCUUCGGAUGAAAGCGGGGGAUCGUAAGACCUCGCGCUGAUGGAUGAGCCCAUGUCGGAUUAGCAGUUGGUGAGGUAACGGCUCACCAAGGCGACGAUCCGUAGCUGGUCUGAGAGGACGGCCAGCCACACUGGGACUGAGACACGGCCCAGACUCCUACGGGAGGCAGCAGUGGGGAAUAUUGGACAAUGGGCGAAAGCCUGAUCCAGCGACGCCGCGUGUGUGAAGAAGGCCCGCGGGUUGUAAAGCACUUUCGAUGGGAACG